AGGGUUUGAUCCUGGCUCAGAACGAACACUGGCGGCGUGGAUUAGGCAUGCAAGUCGCGCGAGAAAGUUCCCUUCGGGGAACGAGUACAGCGGCGAAAGGGUGAGUAAUGCAUGGGCAACGUACCUCUCGCACGAGGAUAGCCGCGGGAAACUGCGGAUAAUACUCGAUGAGACCACGGCUCCCCAAGGAGCAGUGGUCAAAGGUGGGGACCCCUUCGGGGGCCUGCCGGCGAGAGAGCGGCCCAUGUCCUAUCAGCUUGUUGGUGAGGUAACGGCUCACCAAGGCGACGACGGGUAGCGGGACUGAGAGGUUGGCCCGCCACACUGGGACUGAGACACUGCCCAGACUCCUACGGGAGGCUGCAGUCGAGAAUCUUCCGCAAUGGGCGAAAGCCUGACGGAGCGACGCCGCGUGCGGGAAGAAGCCCUUCGGGGUGUAAACCGCCGUCGAGGAUUACCAAGCAAAGGGAGUUAACAGCUCCCGGCGUUGAGGCAUCCCAACGGAAGCCACGGCUAACUUCGUGCCAGCAGCCGCGGUAAGACGAAGGUGGCAAGUGUUGUUCGGAAUCACUGGGCUUAAAGGGCACGUAGGCGGACCGCCAAGCGUCCUGUGAAAGCCCUCGGCCCAACCGAGGAAUUGCAGGGCGAACUGACGGUCUUGAGGCAGGUAGGGGCGAGUGGAACUCUCGGUGGAGCGGUGGAAUGCGUAGAUAUCGAGAGGAACGCCGGAGGCGAAGGCGACUCGCUGGGCCUGACCUGACGCUGAGGUGCGAAAGCCAGGGGAGCAAACGGGAUUAGAUACCCCGGUAGUCCUGGCUGUAAACGAUGUCCACUAGGCCGGAGAUCUUUUGAUAGGUUUUCGGCCGUAACGAAAGCAUUAAGUGGACCGCCUGGGGACUACGGUCGCAAGGCUAAAACUCAAAGGAAUUGACGGGGCCUCACACAAGCGGUGGAGCAUGUUGCUCAAUUCGAUGCAACGCGAAGAACCUUAUCCUGGGCUUGACAUGUUUGGAUGCCCCCCGGGAAACCGGGCUCGGCUGCCCUUCGGGGUGAAACUUACACAGGUGCUGCAUGGCUGUCGUCAGCUCGUGUCGUGAGAUGUUGGGUUAAGUCCCGUAACGAGCGAAACCCCUGUCGCUAGUUGCCAGCGGGUAGUGCCGGGGACUCUAGCGAGACUGCCGGUGUUAAACCGGAGGAAGGUGGGGAUGACGUCAAGUCCUCAUGGCCUUUAUGCCCAGGGCUGCAAACGUGCUACAAUGGCCGGUACAAACCGACGCAAGGCCGCGAGGCGGAGCAAAUCGGAAAAAGCCGGCCCCAGUUCGGAUCGUAGUCUGCAAUUCGACUGCGUGAAGCUGGAAUCGCUAGUAAUCGCGGAUCAGAAUGCCGCGGUGAAUGUGUUCCUGAGGCUUGUACACACCGCCUGUCAAGUCAUGGAAGCUGGGAGAGCCUGUAGUCGUCCCAAUUCAGGGACGCCGAAGGUUAGCCCAGUGACUGGGACUAAGUCAUAACAAGGUAGCCGUAGGGGA
rnacentral:rRNA from 1 species